rnacentral:rRNA from 1 species
AUUGAACGCUGGCGGCAUGCUUUACACAUGCCAGUCGAACGGCAGCGCGGGCUUCGGCCUGGCGGCGAGUGGCGAACGGGUGAGUAAUACAUCGGAACGUGCCCAGUAGUGGGGGAUAGCUCGGCGAAAGCCGGAUUAAUACCGCAUACGACCUGAGGGUGAAAGCGGGGGAUCUUCGGACCUCGCGCUAUUGGAGCGGCCGAUGGCAGAUUAGCUAGUUGGUGGGGUAAAGGCCUACCAAGGCGACGAUCUGUAGCUGGUCUGAGAGGACGACCAGCCACACUGGGACUGAGACACGGCCCAGACUCCUACGGGAGGCAGCAGUGGGGAAUUUUGGACAAUGGGCGAAAGCCUGAUCCAGCAAUGCCGCGUGUGUGAUGAAGGCCUUCGGGUUGUAAAGCACUUUUGGCGGGAACGAAAAGGACUGUGCCAAUACCACGGUUCGAUGACGGUACCCGCAGAGUAAGCACCGGCUAACUACGUG